rnacentral:rRNA from 1 species
GACGAACGCUGGCGGCGUGCUUAACACAUGCAAGUCGAACGGUGAACCUCUUCGGAGGGGAUCAGUUGCGAACGGGUGAGUAACACGUGGGCAACCUGCCCCCGGCUCUGGGAUAACUCCAAGAAAUUGGGGCUAAUACCGGAUGUUCACCUCUUCCCGCCUGGGUGGUGGUGACAAGGGUUUCCGGCUGGGGAUGGGCCCGCGGCCUAUCAGCUUGUUGGUGGGGUAGUGGCCUACCAAGGCGACGACGGGUAGACGGCCUGAGAGGGUGACCGGCCACACUAGGACUGAGACACGACACAGACUCCUACGGGAGGCAGCAGUGGGGAGGAUUACGCAAUGGGCGGAAGCCAGACGCAGCGAAGCGGCGUGGGGGAUGACGGCAUUCGGGUUGGAAACCUCUGUCAGCAGGGAAGAAAAGAAAGUGACGGUACCUGCAGAAGAAGCACCGGCCAACUACGUG